GGCUCAAUGGUCUAGUGGUAUGAUUCGUGCUUCGGGAUCCAUCCCAUCGCCUGGUUAACAAGCGACAUGAAUGUGCGAGGUCUCCGGUUCAAUCCCCGAAUGAGCCC